rnacentral:rRNA from 1 species
UACGUAGGGUGCAAGCGUUGUCCGGAAUUAUUGGGCGUAAAGAGCUCGUAGGUGGUUUGUCGCGUUGUUCGUGAAAACUCACAGCUCAACUGUGGGCGUGCGGGCGAUACGGGCAGACUAGAGUACUGCAGGGGGAGACUGGAAUUCCUGGUGUAGCGGUGGAAUGCGCAGAUAUCAGGAGGAACACCGGUGGCGAAGGCGGGUCUCUGGGCAGUAACUGA